GACGAACGCUGGCGGCGUGCUUAAUACAUGCAAGUCGAGCGGGGUCCAUCCGGUGGCAACACCGGUGAAGACCUAGCGGCGAACGGGUGAGUAACACGUGAGCAACCUGCCCCGAAGACUGGGAUAACAGCGGGAAACCGCUGCUAAUACCGGAUGCCCUCACCGGGUCGCAUGACCUGGUGAGGAAAUGAAUCUCGCUUCGGGAUGGGCUCGCGGGCUAUCAGCUUGUUGGUGGGGCAACGGCCCACCAAGGCUACGACGGCUAGCUGGUCUGAGA
rnacentral:rRNA from 1 species